UAGUACAAAAAGGAUUUGAAGGAAUUGAGGAAAAGUAUAUUUCUGAUGUACCAGAUGAAUUGUUGAAGUAAAUUAUCAGUGUGGCUACUCUAGCCCUCGCUGUCAGUCACCUCCACACAUUG
rnacentral:snoRNA from 1 species